GACGAACCGUCCGAACGUUAUUCGGAAUCACUGGGCUUAAAGGGUGCGUAGGCGGCGCGGAAAGUUGGGUGUGAAAUCCCUCGGCUCAACCGAGGAACUGCGCCCAAAACUACCGUGCUCGAGGGAGAUAGAGGUGAGCGGAACUUAGGGUGGAGCGGUGAAAUGCGUUGAUAUCCUGAGGAACACCGGUGGCGAAAGCGGCUCACUGGAUCUUUUCUGACGCUGAGGCACGAAAGCUAGGGUAGCGAACGGG
rnacentral:rRNA from 1 species